AUUGAACGCUGGCGGCAGGCCUAACACAUGCAAGUCGAACGAGUGGCGGACGGGUGAGUAAUGUCUGGGAAACUGCCUGAUGGAGGGGGAUAACUACUGGAAACGGUAGCUAAUACCGCAUACCCUCGGAUGUGCCCAGCUGGGAUUAGCUAGUAGGUGGGGUAAAGGCUCACCUAGGCUACGAUCCCUAGCUGGUCUGCGAGGAUGACCAGCCAGAGUGGAACUGAGACACGGUCCAGACUCCGACGGGAGGCAGCAGUGGGGAAUAUUGCACAAGGGGCGAAAGCCUGAUGCAGCCAUGCCGCGUGGAUGAAGAAGGCCUUCGGGUUGUAAAGUAAUUUCAGCGGGGAGGCGUUACCCGAAGAAGAAGCACCGGCUAACUCCGUGCCAGCAGCCGCGGUAAUUC
rnacentral:rRNA from 1 species